AGCGAGCCUGGUCUCAGCUCCGCCGUUCGGCUAUGGAUGUGUGAAUCCGCACCUCAAGCUCCCUGUGUCGCGUUCUGUUCGCCUAAACCACAUUUCGCCUGUCAGUUCCUGCUCGCCAGUGCGCCCUCUCGGCUCGCUCGGCUUUAAUCUCCAAUCGUGUCGUCGACCUUGUCGUUCGUCGUCACGUCGUUCGCCGUCAAGCCUCACUGCCAUUCCUGUUGUGCCUCGCUUCUGAUGUGUUCGAUUAAAUGUAGGACCAAAAAUCCAAGAUGUCGCUCCUCCUCGCUGUGAAAUCCUCACGCUCACCAUUCUCUAUUCGAUCUCGUCGUCAAGCUGAAGGCCGUCGUCGUUCAGGCAACUACCAAAUCGAGUUGUGAUGUGGUGAGCCGAUUCGCUAUUUUUACUCUCGGUUUUGUGAUCGUAAAAUAAGACGCUUUGUAUACGUAUACGAUUAAGUUAGAAAUACCAGUAAUGCGAGGUGUGCGCUUGGUAAUUAUGGCUUGAUCCGUUAUUAUGUCGUUAGGUUGUGUGAUGUUAUGGGGUCGAUGAUAGAAGUGGAAUUCUAGCUGUUGGGCGAUGACGGGAAGGACAUUGUUCAUCGCAUGCUUAAUGUUUGAUGGAUAGUCCGAACCGGAAUCAUCGUCGUUCUCAUGAAUUUUGUAUCGACUAGUAAUAGUACACUGGAUUCGCUAGUUUUUAUUAUUAGUUCAAGGCUUGGAUUAAUUAGUUAUAUUAGUUGCGUCAGUUCUCCGGACGGUAGUAACCGUGUGUUGUGGUUGUAUUAAUUAUUUAUUAAAAUGCUUCAUUAUAUAUAGUGUAUUGGUUUAUACAUAUAUAUACAUAUGAGAUGUGUAGAUGAUGAGUAGGAUAGGUUUAGUGUUCUAAUUAAUUAACUGAUAAGUUGUGUUUAGACUAAUUAUAUUAAAUAUGUAUUGUUUGUUGUUUAGUGAUGUUUGCGUUAGAUUCAGUUAAUCUAGAGAAGCGUGAUUAUUGUGCUUAGUCGUACGUCGAUAAUUAGUGUCUCCGUAUGAAAAUGUUCAACGCCUCGCCGCUAGGUGUUUAAUUCGCUAUCGCAAGCACUAUUUAGGUUUGCGAUAUUCCUGUCUAUAUGCAUUCAUGUGCAUAAUGCAUUUCAUUCAGGUACGUGAAUUAACCACGUGAUGUAGAGAACCAGAACUGAGUCGACCACAAGAUGGUGCUGCUGAACGAAACUGAAGGUGGACAGACGAAACAAGUGUCAGAACAAAAGAUACUCGUCAAGCGGACGUCAUCUAUCAAACACUAACAUAGUGUUUAUUCCAUGCAAGCUCCGGUGCAUGCAACCCCUUUCCUUGUGUUUUUAAAUAAUUUUCACACACUUUAAGUCUAGUGAAUGUGCAUUAGGUUUAUAGGAGUUGCUUGGAAACCCUUUGAUGCAUUGCCUUCCUUGAUAUCCAUACCUUUAUAGAUACUUCUGAUGAAGUAUCAAAAUAUGAUUUAUAAAAUUGCUUAGCCUUGCUUAGAGGUAAAUCUUGUGGAUAGAGGUUGUCCUUUGCAUUGAUGCCUAGCUCAGGGGUUAUCUUGAGGAAGGAUGGCUUCUGCCUGCAAGAAUAUUUUCAUUGGGAGCAAUGGUGGGAUCUUACUGCAAAGUUCCCUGUGAUGCUCUUUUCAUCCUAAGGAACACAAACAAUCCUAAGGGUGGAAAUACUUAAAUCAGGACUUGGGCUAGGAACAGGUGAUGUUCUACCUAGGUUGAUUAAGGAAUGAAUGCGUAUGUAGGCGUGCUGAUCGAGGACCCUUUAACUGGUCACAUGCCUCGUCAUGGGUAAGCCUUGCCUCGGGCAGACUAAGGCUAGAAUAAGAUAACACGGAAUGGGCGUGGAGCAGUGGCAAGAGUAGCGUGUACCCUCCGUGGCAAGAGGCUGGACGGUGGUGUAUCUGUGCUCUCGGUUCGCGUGAACCUGAUCUGGUCUUAAGAACCCUGGUGGCGGGUUGACAUAUGCAAGGGUUAAGUGCUACAUAUGUCGUGUGAUUGGAGAUCCUUAGCUGAGUAUAAUCGAUUCGGAUCGCCGUACCUUCGCGGUUAUGAAGACUUGGUCACUUCCCUACAACCUAAGUCAGGAUGUGAACCUCAAGAAUAAAAAUGAUGUUGUAUUGAUGAGAUGGUGAAAUAAGACCAGAUGCAAACAGAGUCUAUUAAUAUUUAAUCUGGCGUUAAAACAUUGAAAGUAAGGAAUCACUUUAGUAAGCUAUUUCUGCAAAAGUAUCUAAGUUGAUUCUUGCUAAAGCCUCUCCUUGAUUCCCAAUUCCAGCAUACCCUUGAGAGUCUUUUCUUUAGUCGGGUAAGUCUUGCUGAGUAAUUCCAUACUCAGGGUUUUAUUCCGUGUUGUUUUUCAGGAUAUAACUUUGUGCUGCUGUGAUGGUGUUAAGUGCCGGUGGGCUCGGCCUUCUUAUAUAAGUAUACCUCGUCUUUAUAUUCUUAUUGAGGAUGGUCACUUGAGCUAGCAUAUAUUUCAAACUUAUAGUUUUGUAAUCACUCCGAUAAAAUAAUUGUUGGG
rnacentral:lncRNA from 1 species